GAACUGCAACAUAUGAGGGGCGAUUCGAUAUUCUGUCACUGUGUGGUUCAUUUCUGCUGACAGAGGUUGGUGGGUCAGCGGAGCAGAACUGGUGGAUUGAGUGUCACAUUAGCUGGACCAGAUGGACGUGUUUUAGGUGGCUGUGUUGCAGGACUUCUUACUGCUGCAACCCCUGUUCAGUUGAUUAUGGGCAGUUUCAUCGCUGAUGGUGGCAAGGAAUCAAAGGCAGUAAAUCAAAUGGAACAGUUGUCAGCCCCAUCAAAGCUCUCCCCAGUUGGUGGUGGUGGUGCAACAAGUGCUACCAGCCCGCCAUCGCAUGG